UGUAAAAUCCAAUAGCUGCCUUGACAUACAUUCAUUAGUUAACUUUACUAGGUUAUCAACAAUAUGCACUUAUGACUGGUAUUUAUGAAGUAACAGCUACUUGCAUGGUGAAAAACGCAAAAUACUUAGUGUUUAGAGUGAACAUUACUUUAUUUAGAGUUAAGCUCACUCGCAACAAUAAAUAGCCAACACCGUCUCACUCCCACUGUGCAUUCGAAGAAGAAGAAGAAGUGUGCAUGCGCAGUAGAACAUUCAGUCUCUCCCGCUCAGCAAUCAGCGCACCAGCGCACAGGCCGGACCACUGAGGGUGCGGACUCGACUUUUGCGCCGUCUUCUUCAUUCUUUUGAAAAAUAAUAAGAACGUGGUCCCAGUGCACUGGAGGAAGCUGUUUCCCCGUGGAGCUCCAGCAGUGCUUAGAAGGCUAAAAAAACCUUCACCUGACAUCUUAUCAGCAAGGGGAUGCAUUGGACCUGUAAGCAGUGCCUUUUUUCCACAGACAAAAGAGGACAGUUGUUAAACACUGUUGCAUAAAACAUGGAGGUUUUUCUCGGCAACAACCAAUACCAUGUCUUCAUAUGGAUUGCUUGUGCGUCUUUAAAAUCUUUUAAUGCACUCAAAGUUCAUUUAUCUGUUUGGCAUUCUCAAUCAGACAUCAGACAAGCAAGUAAACCCACAGUUGC